AUCGGUAUCCAGCAGCAGCACAUGAGGAGGCAUCAGUGGACUCAUGGAAGACGCUGUAUAACAGCAGACACAAGCGUGGCAUCAAGUGUCGCUUUUGCUGUGGCUGCUGCACCCCCGGUAUCUGUGGAGUUUGCUGCAGGUUCUGAGGAUUCCUGCUCCAACAACCACUCAGUAUUAACAAACUGUAUGUCACAGUUAAUGUGUGAGAUUAUACUGUUUUAGUAACAUUGUGUCCUCAGUUACUGCAUCAACUACAUGCUUGUAUUACACAGUUUAUCACAAUAAACUUUAUGGUCAUGUAGAUAUAA